UCCCAGUGAAGAAACAUUUACAUGACUUACCUUCUGUCCUGGUCCCAGAACUUAUAAAUGUGAACACAUUGGAGCAGUCUUGGAGAGAAGAUGAGUUUAUUCUAAAGGGAACUAUCUGAGGAAU
rnacentral:snoRNA from 1 species